rnacentral:tRNA from 1 species
GCCUCGGUAGCUCAGUCUCGGUAGAGCGCCGCGUUGAAGUCGCGGGCGUCGGCGGUUCGAACCCGUCCCGAGGCA